AACGUAGGAGGCGAGCGUUAUCCGGAUUUACUGGGCGUAAAGCGCGGGCAGGUGGUGGCUUAAGUCAUGCGUGAAAGCUCCUGGCUCAACCGGGAGAGGUCGUGUGAAACUGGGUCACUGGAGGCAGGGAGAGGUCGACGGAAUUCCGGGUGGAGUGGUGAAAUGCGUAGAGAUCCGGAGGAACACCAGUGGCGAAGGCGGUCGGCUGGCCCUGACCUGACACUCAGCCGCGAAAGCAUGGGGAGCGAACGGGAUUAGAAACCCCCGUAGUCC
rnacentral:rRNA from 1 species